GACGAACGCUGGCGGCGUGCUUAACACAUGCAAGUCGAACGGAAAGGCCCUGCUUUUGUGGGGUGCUCGAGUGGCGAGCGGGUGAGUAACACGUGAGUAACCUGCCCUUGACUUUGGGAUAACUUCAGGAAACUGGGGCUAAUACCGGAUAGGAGCUCCUGCUGCAUGGUGGGGGUUGGAAAGUUUCGGCGGUUGGGGAUGGACUCGCGGCUUAUCAGCUUGUUGGUGGGGUAGUGGCUUACCAAGGCUUUGACGGGUAGCCGGCCUGAGAGGGUGACCGGCCACAUUGGGACUGAGAUACGGCCCAGACUCCUACGGGAGGCAGCAGUGGGGAAUAUUGCACAGUGGGCGGAAGCCUGAUGCAGCAACGCCGCGUGCGGGAUGACGGCCUUCGGGUUGUAAACCGCUUUCGCCUGUGACGAAGCGUGAGUGACGGUAAUGGGUAAAGAAGCACCGGCUAACUACGUG
rnacentral:rRNA from 1 species